rnacentral:lncRNA from 1 species
GGGGGCGAAUAUUGACAGAGAUGUGUGCAAUGUUUUUUGUUUGUUUUGUUUUCUGGUACCGAGAAUCAAACUCGGGUCCUUGCCCUUGCCAGGCAGGUGGCAGAACCACUGAGCUAAACCCCCGGCCCAAUGUGUCUCUUACUAUAGUUAAGUUUUUUAAUUUAAACCUUAACCACAUAGGCAUUUGCUCUACCUUUUCCAGAGACCCCUUCUGCCGCUUAAAAGUUCCUGCUUAAUGACUGACUUCCUUAGGACCUCCAUCCAAAAGCAAUGCCACCUCUGGGCGAGAGACUGCGGGGACCCCACAUUCACUGUCCACGCCAGGGCUACUGACUGGGGAGCAGCCAGCUGUGUUUCUUCCCUCAACCUGGUCACGGGAGGCAGAGUGCAUUUCCCAACCUCUCUGUGGGCUCUGGCCACGGGGGCGGGGGCGGCGCAGCAGAUGUGAAGGACAGCAGGAGCAUCAAACAAGCACUUCUGGAGAGAAGGCAUCCCGGCGCCCAGAAUCCACAGCUCCAAGGAGGACAGGGCAUAGAGGAUGCAGCCAGCAGCCUCGGUCCCCACACUCCAUGUACAGGAGCAGACGCCUUGUGUCCUCUGCAAACCGUUGACCCCAGGACCCUGAUCCCAACCCUCCACAUCAUAUGCCAGCACUGUCUGCCCUGUGCCCACCCUGCGCCCUCUGGAGCAUCCUCACCACUCCUCAGACAAGCAGUUCUACCCCCUCCCCACUGCCUGCACUCUGGCUGCGCUGUGCUGGCUGCCUGGGCUGUCAUCUCCAGGGCUUCACAGGGUGCGU